rnacentral:rRNA from 1 species
CCUACGGGUGGCAGCAGUGAGGAAUAUUGGUCAAUGGACGAGAGUCUGACCCAGCCAAGCCGCGUGAAGGAUGACUGCCCUAUGGGUUGUAAACUUCUUUUAUAAAGGAAUAAAACGAGGCACGUGUGCCCUUUUGCAUGUACUUUUUGAAUAAGGAUCGGCUAACUCCGUGCCAGCAGCCGCGGUAAUACGGAGGAUCCGAGCGUUAUCCGGGUUUAUUUGGUUUAAAGGGAGCGUAGAGGGGUUGUUAAGUCAGUUGUGAAAGUUUGCGGCUCAACCGUAAAAUUGCAAUUUAUACUGGCAGUCUUGAGUACAGGAGAGGUAGGCGGAAUUCGUGGUGUAGCGGUGAAAUGCUUAGAUAUCACGAAGAACUCCGAUGGCGAAGGCAGCUUACUAAACUGCCACUGACAUUGAUGCUCGAAAGUGUGGGUAUCAAACAGGAUUAGAUACCCUUGUAGUC